ensembl:snRNA U6 U6 spliceosomal RNA
UUGCUUCAGCAGCACAUAUACUAAAAUUGGAAAGAUACAGAGAAGAAUAGCUUGACACUUGUGCAAGGAUGACAUGCAAAUUGGUGAAGUGUUCCAUAUUUAA